UCCGUCUCAUACAAGCUCCGCCCCUGAGGCUCCGCUCUGCUGCCAGACAAUUUCCCGUUCGGCCGCGGAAUGCCGGCAAUUGCAGUCGCAGAGGGCGUCGUCUACACCACAACUCCCCACACCAUCGGCAAAAGCAAAACGUCAUGUGCUCCAUACAGUGGCCUCUGUGGAUGGAGACAUUAUCUCUGGCAUUAACUUUGUGCAUUUUAUAUUGCGAAACGGCCCAAAACGAGAAAUGUGUCAAUGUGGAAUUUUGUCGAUACUUUUUGUGAACUUAUUGAACUGUCCAGUCACAAAGUAAAUACAACAGGAAUGUCGGAUGAGUGGACCUCCAAACAACCACUAAGUAAACAAUCAAAAAGUGGCCAAGAGAAAGCCAACUACAAAUACCCUUAACACACGCUGAUUCAUCGAAAAUCGAAGACAGGACUUUGGAAGAAGUAUACUUAAUUAAGGCUGAGCAGUGACGUCAUGGCCACUCCACCCACUCCACACAGAGAGAGACAGACAGACACACAGAGACAGAGACAGAGAGAGACACGCAAUCGCUGGCUGAGAUACAUUACUAUAUAUAACAGGUCAUAAAUAUCUAUAAACUGAUAUUGAACGCAGUGCUCUGAGAUCAUUGCAAUUUCUGUGAAAGUCAAGUCCCCAACGCCUUGAAUGGAAAAAGUGAAAUAAAUAAAGCCACUUGUGAUCCACUCCACUCGCGAUGUGGUAGCAAAAAAAAACAUUGCACAACAUCUGCCGGCGGGAGGGGAGUAUCUGUAUCUUCCCCCUCUCUCGCUCCCUCCCGAAGACAAAGUAUCUUGACCUCGUGGACUGCCGGAGUGUGCUGCUGUCGUGGAUCGUAUCGUCACUGGCAAUUAGUAGCGUAAUUAAAUAUUUGUGUACAAAUAA